CCUACGGGAGACUGCAGUCGAGAAUCAUUCACAAUGGGGGAAACCCUGAUGGUGCGACGCCGCGUGGGGGAAUGAAGGUCUUCGGAUUGUAAACCCCUGUCAUGUGGGAGCAAAUUAAAAAGAUAGUACCACAAGAGGAAGAGACGGCUAACGCUGUGCCAGCAGCCGCGGUAAUACAGAGGUCUCAAGCGUUGUUCGGAAUCACUGGGCGUAAAGCGUGCGUAGGCUGUUUCGUAAGUCGUGUGUGAAAGGCGCGGGCUCAACCCGCGGACGGCACAUGAUACUGCGAGACUAGAGUAAUGGAGGGGGAACCGGAAUGCUCGGUGUAGCAGUGAAAUGCGGAGAUAUCGAGAGGAACACUCGUGGCGAAGGCGGGUGCCUGGACAUUAACUGACGCUGAGGCACGAAGGCCAGGGGAGCGAAAGGGAUUAGAUACCCCUGUAGUU
rnacentral:rRNA from 1 species